AUUGAACGCUGGCGGAAUGCUUUACACAUGCAAGUCGAACGGCAGCACGGGGGCAACCCUGGUGGCGAGUGGCGAACGGGUGAGUAAUACAUCGGAACGUGCCCAAUCGUGGGGGAUAACGUAGCGAAAGCUACGCUAAUACCGCAUACGAUCUACGGAUGAAAGCGGGGGAUCGCAAGACCUCGCGCGAAUGGAGCGGCCGUUGGCAGAUUAGGUAGUUGGUGGGGUAAAGGCUCACCAAGCCGACGAUCUGUAGCUGGUCUGAGAGGACGACCAGCCACACUGGGACUGAGACACGGCCCAGACUCCUACGGGAGGCAGCAGUGGGGAAUUUUGGGACAAUGGGCGCAAGCCUGAUCCAGCCAUUCCGCGUGCAGGAUGAAGGCCUUCGGGUUGUAAACU
rnacentral:rRNA from 1 species